rnacentral:sRNA from 1 species
UGUGAUCUAACAGAGAAUGAAGCCCUCUGUUUAUCCACAGGACAGAUGCAGCACAAGCAGCAACUGCGCAAACUUCUUUGCCAAAGUUCCCAGAGCUCACAAGCUUAGGCCUGGUCUACACUGGGAGUCGGGCUAGAGGGGGCAAUGCAAGAUAUACAACUUCAGCUACA